rnacentral:rRNA from 1 species
CCUACGGGAGGCAGCAGUGGGGAAUAUUGCACAAUGGGGGAAACCCUGAUGCAGCAACGCCGCGUGAGUGAAGAAGUAUUUCGGUAUGUAAAGCUCUAUCAGCAGGGAAGAAGAAAGACGGUACCUGACUAAUAAGCCCCGGCGAACUACGUGCCAGCAGCCGCGGUAAUACGUAGGGGGCAAGCGUUAUCCGGAUUGACUGGGUGUAAAGGUAGCGUAGACGGCUGUGCAAGUCUGAAGUGAAAGCCCGGGGCUCAACCGCGGAACUGCUUUGGAAACUGUAUAGCUGGAGUACUGGAGAGGCAGGCGGAAUUCCUGGUGUAGCGGUGAAAUGCGUAGAUAUUAGGAGGAACACCAGUGGCGAAGGCGGCCUGCUGGACAGAAACUGACGUUGAGGCUCGAAAGCGUGGGGAGCAAACAGGAUUAGAUACCCUAGUAGUC